GGGCUCGUAGCUCAGCUGGCAGAGCAGCGGCCUUUUAAGCCGAAGCGCGUAGGUUCGAUCCCUACCGGGCCCA
rnacentral:tRNA from 1 species